CCCUUUCAGCUAGGAUGCCUGCCAGUGACCUCCCUGGGUCUGCUUAUCUCUGACCCUCAAUGCUGGUCCACAUGCCUUGCUUUUACAUGGAUACUGGGGACUUGAACUCAGGUCCUUUUGCUUUUACAGGCAGUGUAUUUACUCACGGAGUCAUCUCCCCAGCCCAGCUCUAUAUCUCUUUGUGGAUAGAGAGCCUCAGAGCAGCCUUAGCUUUGAAUAUGAGAUGCAUCAUUUAUGUAUGGCCACGAAAAGCCAUUGUUUAAAAUAACAUCCAUUACAGACCAAAUCUAAAGACUAUUUCCAAAUCGCUGCCAACAUUUUUUGGUUCUAUCUUCUUCAAAUAAUUAAGGGUUAGCAACUUCAAAAUUAAUUCCAGUGGCAAGCUGUGCAUCUAGCUUAAUGGAUAUCAUAAAUCAAUCCCGUGAGGUAAAAUCUAUUUUAAGAAGUCUACGGAAGAGGUGCUGUUUCAAAGGCAGAACUACGUUAUUUCUUUCUCUUCAGAGCAGUCCAAGGCCCCACCCCAACCCUGAAGAACUUCUAGCACUAAUUGUGACUAGGUCAGAAUGGAUUGGCUGACACCCUGAAUCUGGGUUAUAGCAUCUGGAUUUGACAGAGACUAAGUUUUUGUCAUCCUAAGUCACCAAGCCCAUAGAGAUUGUCACUGCAACUCCACAAGAUCAAGACACCUGCCAAGUAAAGUACUAGGUCUUGGGCCCAGCAGUCAGGAUGGGAAGAAGCCUCCUGGGGAGGAGGGUUCACAGUCAAGGUAAGAACUAGGUCCUGAGUGACUGACCAGAUAGCUCUGCUUGUGGCUAGGUCAUCUUCCCUAUAGAACCGCACACAGAGCAGGCAUGGGCACAGAGAGGAGUCUUUAGGCAGGUGUGUGAAUCUAGAUGGGCUCUCUGGAGCUUUCUAGUUUACCAGAAACGAUCCCCCACUCCAGCAAGCACAGCAGUAAUAAGACCACUUAAGAAGUCUCCCCAUCCAGAGUUUUACAAACUCAUUGGAGAAGAGAGAAGUGGUAACAUAUACAAACAUUUCUGUCCCAAGUGUCACGCAGGCCUACUAACACCUUCCAAACACCCUCUCAGAUCUCACCAGUAAGCAAGGUUUCAAGCUGUGAAUGUGUCUCCAGCCAGCCACAUUCCUUCUGGCUCUGGGGCAACAUUAAAUCCAUGCCAGCACUCUCCAAUUUCUGAAGCAUAGACUGGCCUGUCCCAAGUCUAAUGGAUCCUGCUUGCCCUCCCCCGGCCCUCCUCAUACUUGUAUCAUGCAUCAUCAACAGCUAGAUGAUCUUCAAGUUGCCUCUGAGCAGAAAAUGUCUGCUUGUAGCCACAUUCUCUGGCAGUGCCUGCUGAGGGUGAGUUCAUUCAAGAGCACCUGCGCCUGUACUGGGUCCGGCAGUUGAAGAGACACAUUUGGAUAUUCACCCAGGCUUUGAUUCAGCUGAAAGACCGAGGGGCAACCACAGCAGCCUUUUGUAACCAAAGUACCCAGCAUGCCAUCGUGAUCAUCAAAAGCCUUGGGCUGUGCAGCCUGCAGGGAGAGGAUUACCUGGGAAGGAGGAUGAUCCAUAUUGGGGGGGGGGCAUCCUGGGACAUGGUUAGAAGUAUGGGACCCAUUGGUGAGCAUGAGUCAUGGCACUAGGGGUUUGGAACUAAAGCAGCUGGGUUCAUAGACCUGAAGCCACCACCCAGCGGGACUGUGUGACUUGGGCAAGUCCUGGAUGUCGCAGAGCCUCCGUAAUUCCACUGUAACACAGGGUAGACAAGGGUUAGUGCACAGGGUGACAUGAGGACUCAAAAUACCUCAGAAAAUUGUGUUUUCUGAGAAAACUAUUUGGGGAAUUCAGGGUGCUCAAUGUCCUAGGUAGUCUACCGCAGAUGUGAAAGCAAAGGCUCUGCCAUGAUUCAAGAUGAGGCUGUGGGGUCCCCAAGGGGAAGAGAAAGGUUUACAGAAAGGAGGCUACCCAAGCAGAAGAGACAGGGACUCAGGCUUCCUCCCCCCAAAAAACUUGGUCAUGAGGAGGGUUAGCUACCUCUGGCAAACCUAGCUCAUCACCUCCCUUUGCUUAUUUGUAGGGCGGUGAUGUGUGGAUCAGCCCCUCGGCAGCCCCAAGGCUCAGAAUGGAUUUCUGUUGUGCAGACCUGGAAACUGAUGUCCAACCCACAACCAUGGGGCAUAAUGUGCACCUACAGGGAUCACCCUGGACCUCUACACUCGCCUGACAAGUGUCUAUAUUCACCAUCUUUGAACAGAGACAGAUGGAAGGAGAGCUGCAAAGGCCCUUGGUCUACCUUCCAUGUGAGAGAAUCUUCUGGAAUGACUGUCACAUCCACCCCAUUUCCUUCCAGGACAGGUCUCCUAUAGGAGCUGUAAGAGGAAGCGACUUCUAGUCAUCAGACCCCACAGGGGAGAUAGGGUGGUCCCAGCAGACAGAACCUCCAUGGAGACCUGGGAUUCCCCAUUUUUCCCUCCUACCACAUACUUUCCAUCAGUAAUCCAGUCCUUCCUUCCAAACUUGCACAGGUCCUGGCCCUUUUGCCACCUCCACAGCCACUUUCCUGCCAAACAUUGAUCAGAAUGUAGCAGUCCCUUCCCGGGCCACCUUGACUUUCUUCUCAUCCAGGUCAACAUUCCAUACACAGGAUAGAGAAUCUCAUGAAACUGUUUGGAUCACAUGACUCCUAGGCUCAAGACCCUCGCUGGCUCACCUCUCCUUGAAAACAAAUGCCGGGCUACUUCUAUCUAUUGCCUACACAGUUGGGUGCUGAGAGAGACCUCAGUCUGGUCUGAGGUGGUCCCUCUCCUGCUUCAUCUACUCCUGAAAAGAGCUGUCCCCUCCAAGGCACACCUGAGGAGCAGAGAACAUUGCCUGAUGAGCAGAGGAUUCCAGCAGGCAUUGUAUCCAGAUGCAAACAGCAGACUCUCAUGCCCCCUGCCACUGCCAUGAGGUGUUCCUGCCACCAAGCCUUCUCUGCCACGACGGGCUGUGCCCCCUUAAACCAGGAAGCACAGCAGACAGCAGACUGCUUACUGCUUCUUAGACAUUUGGUAGCUGUGAUUAAAGAUAAUGUACAGUGAAGAUCUGGCCAUGGAGCCGGAGGGACAGAAAUCAUUCUUGAGGGAGUCCUUUGCUUUCAAGAUGCAAAAAAAUAGAUGGAGUAGGCAUUACUUACUCUUAUCUCUACUGUGAAUGCAGCUGUGAUGACUAGAGUUGACUCAACUAUCUUGACAUCUUGAGGAAAAGGCUAAAAUAAUUACAUUGAAUCUAGCUCUGACAUUUUAAGUUUGAAUCCACUUCAACAGCCACAAAAAUAACUUCCAAAUACUUGAAGACAUCAAGGUUGAGUUUCAAUCACCUGUUUCCCAACAACCCUAAAAUGUACAACUCUUCAUAAAAUUAGAUAAUGCUACAAAAUCUGACCUGGAAGGAAGUGUCUACCCAGAGCAAGGAUGUCACAUUUCCUUGUAGCUUGGAGUCCUCAGUGGAGGGCUAGAGAAGAUGGAGUUGGGCAGUUUCCUUGCAUUCUCUACACCCCUGCAGUCUACUUGCGGUCAUGCGACUAGCUCUGGCCAAAAUGAGAAUAGAUGUGCCCUGUUUCAGACCUGGGAUGACUGAAGUGAAAACUCAAUGCUGGGACCCUGGGGAAGUGGGGAUGGCUCAGUCAGCCAAGGGCUUGCAGUGCAUGAGGGCCUGAGUUUGGACCCCAGCACCCAUGUGAAAAAAAGUGGGGCAUUGCAGUAUGGCCUUGUAGGUGAAGACGGAGAUGGGAUAAGCCCUGGGGCUCCCUGGCCCACCUGUCUAGCUAAAUGGAUGAGCUCCAGGUACAACUGGAGACCUUAGCUCAAAAAGUAAGGUGGGAGGUAGCUGAGGAUGAUAACUGAUGUCAACAUCUGUCCUACACACACACACACACACACACACACACACACACACACAAAAAGGGCCCAACAUCACCCGAUCCCUCUUCCAAUUCUGUAAGUGUGCAUGAAGAGCACACGCCCUAGAGGUCAAGAAGGCGGAGGACAGCCCUCUGUGCACAGUUAUCACAGUGCCACACUGCUUCCUUUUCAGAGGUUUUUAUCAGCAUAGCUGAUUUCUCCCUGAAGGUGGCUGAGCUACCUUGCUGGUAGCAAUUUUGCUAAAGAAGGAGCUGUAAUCUGGAAGUUAUUACAACAGGCACCCAAUCCAUCACUGGGGUUAUUCUGCUUUGGAAUCCAAAUCACAGGAUGUCUCAUCUGCCUAAUGAGGUGGACGGUUUUCCGAAUUAACUUGAAGAUGUUACUCGGUUGCAAAAUUCAGCACUACUUAAUGGAAACAAUGUUCCCCUCUAAUUUCCACUAAUACUUCCAGCUGCUGCCUGGAAAUUUUCGUCUUUGGGUCCCAUAUCUGCAUAUAGUGAAAUGUUUGCAAAAUAUAUGUAUACUUGUCUGAAUGCUAACGGACGCAAUUUCAUGACCCAUUACGCUUCCCACACAAAUGAGGAGAGUUGGGGCUGCCUGGACUGCGAGACGGCUGGUGUCUGCCAGCUGCCCAGGUUUGAUCAUCAACCAGACGCACUCAAUGGAGAUAAAAAUACACAUAGAUGCCUGGAAAUACUUACUGAACAUAUACUAUGUGCCAGGCAAUUUCCUAAAAGUUGAAAGCACCAUGUAAAUAAGAGUUCCCAGUUCAAGUGCCUUGCAGAUAGUAGAUGUAAAUACCUGGAGAUUAUUGCUUCAGUUAUGCCAUUCUGCCUCCCACUGACCUCCUUAGCAGAUGCCCUGACCUCCUUGCCAACCUGCUAGCUGAAACAUGUGGCAGAGGGUGGUUCUGCCUCCACCUCAGCUCCUCUGGUUCCCUGGCAACCUUACCAAAGACUGACCGGAAAUAUCCCACCUCCCCAGUGCCUGGCUUACAGUCCCUUACCCAGCCCUAUGAGUUCCCCAGUGUGUAAGUUUGGAGAAUGGCCCUAGUUCCUACUGGAGCCUGCCCCCAUCAGUAGCACUGCUCCUGGGUAAGCUUCGCUGCUGUUGAGGCUCUGAACUCCAGCAGCUAGUCACAUUACAAUCACAGACAAGAGCAGAGAGAAAUGAAUGCACCCAGGAUGCCUGCUUUCUGGCUGCUUCCAUUCAGCUGGCUCUCUUCACUCUUGGGCAGUCCAGGGCUGAGUCCGUGAAAUGGCACUUUACAUGGUGAGCUGGGCCUUCUCGCCUCAAUUAGCAAUGCAGACAGUCCUUCCUGGACAUGUCCACAGCCCCACCUGAUCCAGACAACACCUCACUGAAACUCUUUUAAGUGAUUGCAAUUGUGCCAAGUUGACAGUUAAAACUAACCAGGACACCCCCAAGAGGACACCAACAUGGCUCUCCCAGGGUUUGGCUGGCUAGCUUCUUGCCCCCGGACAGGACGGGACCAGAACAACAAAACAGAAGGCUCUUUUUACCCAGAGGAAGCUCAAGGAGGAGUGAAGACAGGAAGUGAGUGCAGGUAUAUGACACCAAGUGCCAUCUGUACAAUCCGAGACUCCCAACAUCAGCUCUCCAGAUUCCAGGAACAUCAUAAAACCGGUACCAUACAGAAACGUGGACUUUGGCAUAACCUGAAUCUGUGAUCUUGAGCUAUGAAAAUUCUUAUUUGGUUCCACAAUCAACCAACUCUUAUUUCCUUUGAGGUGCCUGGCUUGGAUAGAUGGUUGGGAGACCUGAGUGAGCUUUCUUUUGGAGUUACAGAGGUGAUACAAGACGAACUGAUGGGAAUGGUGGCUGCUGCUUGCUGAUGGGAGAAAAUGGUAGUGGUAGGUCAAGAUCUUACCAUUCAAUGCAGUCAAGACUGGAGAUUCCAAGGAAUGACAUAGCAGGGUCCUAAGGGGGCUGGCUGGUGUGACCUCGCCUCUAAAGACUCAUAAGGGUGGAGGCAGACAGCAUCUUUAUUGGGAGUCACUCUCCCUACAGUUAGCAAAGUUUAGAACCUUACAAGACAGGGCAGUUGGAUGUCAGCAACUUCAGCAGAGGCAGGUGAGGGGAAGUUAAGCUGGUGCCUGCUGGGAAACUGCCAAGGCCAGGGAGAUGGCUGGAGCUGCUAGCAAAUGGGAAAGGUGAAACUCAGAAGUCAGAGGAGGAGGAGGCUUAUGCUGAAGGGAAGAGUGAAAAUUUCCUACCCCCACCGUGUGUGCGAGUGCAUUCGUGUGUGUGUGUGUGUGUGUGUGUGUGUGUGUGUGUGUGUGUGUGUGGUACAUAUGUGUGUGGUGUUGUGUAUCUGGUGCAUCUGUGUGUAUGAGUGUGGUUAUGUGUUUAUGUGGUUAUGUAUGUAUGUAUGCAUGAGCAACCCCAGCCACUGAUUCCUCCUUCUGUUUUAACACAGUUUCUCUUGUUCACUUCUGUGUGUGCCCAGCUAGCUGGCUCAUGAACUUCUCUGGUUUUCACCUAGAGAUUCUCUGGUUUUCAUCUUCCUUCUCACCACAGGACCACUGGAAUUAUGGUUGUGGCCCACCAUGCCCAGUUUUACGUGGGUUCUGAGGUUCCAAACUCAGGUCCUCAUGCUUGUGCAACAAGUGCUUUUAUGCACUGUGUCAUCUCUUCAGCCCCACCCAAACUAGAUAUUUUUAGUGGUCAUGAGCACAGAUAUUUAACUCUAGAGUUGAGGGCAAGGGCACCUAUCUCUGAGAAUGGAGAGGGGUAGGUAAGGUGAGCACAGUUCUGGGGCACAGGGCUAUUGGGUAAUAUAUACUAGUGAGAUAUUCCAUUGCAGCUAUGUGGUCCCGUGAUUCAUUCUGGCCAUUGAGAGCUAAGCUGAGAUUCUCUGGGGAAGGGAAGGUGCUUCUGGUCUAGCACACAGCUUGGGACAUCUAGGCACAUCCAGGCUAUUUCCUUCUAGUAGUUUCCAAGCACUAGUCUCAGUGCUCAUAACUGAGUUGGUAUCAUUUCUUCUGAGUAAGGUCUUGUGAUAUAGCCUAGACUGACCUCAAACUCAUGAUCCUCCUGCCUCAGUUUCUAGAUUGUUGGCAUUUUAUGUGUGUACUAACAUGCCCAGUUCUUGUUUGUUUCUUGAAGCCUGUUGACAAGAAUGUGGUGUUCCCACAGCCCAUUCUAACCUCGAGGAUGGAAUCACGUGCUAAAGAUGGCAGCACCAGUGCCUGAGUGAUGGUUGGCUUCCCUACCCCACUCUCUAGCUGUCUUUCAUGUGAGAAAAAAAAACUAAGCAAAAAAAAAAAAAAAAAAAAAAA